AUUGAACGCUGGCGGCAGGCUUAACACAUGCAAGUCGAACGAGUGGCGGACGGGUGAGUAAUGCUUGGGAAUCUAGCUUAUGGAGGGGGAUAACUACGGGAAACUGUAGCUAAUACCGCGUACCAUAGGAUGAGCCCAAUUGGGAUUAGGUAGUUGGUGAGGUAAAGGCUCACCAAGCCGACGAUCUCUAGCUGGGCGGAGAGGAUGACCAGCAACACUGGGACUGAGCAACGGCCCAGACUCCUACGGGAGGCAGCAGUGGGGAAUAUUGCGCAAGGGGGGCAACCCUGACGCAGCCAUGCCGCGUGUAGGAAGAAGGCCUUAGGUUUGUAAAGUACUUUCAGCGGGGAGGCGUUACCCGCAGAAGAAGCACCGGCUAACUCCGUGCCAGCCGCCGCGGUAAUAC
rnacentral:rRNA from 1 species